rnacentral:rRNA from 1 species
UUCCGGUUGAUCCUGCCAGAGGUUACUGCUAUCGAGGUUCGACUAAGCCAUGCGAGUCGAAUGUAGCAAUACAUGGCGAACUGCUCAGUAACACGUGGACAACCUGCCCUUAGGACGGGGAUAAACCCGGGAAACUGGGUAUAAUACCCGAUAGGUCUCGAUUGCUGGAAUGCAUCGAGAUUUAAAGCUCCGGCGCCUAAGGAUGGGUCUGCGGCCUAUCAGGUAGUAGUGGGUGUAGCGUACCUACUAGCCUACGACGGGUACGGGUUGUGAGAGCAAGAGCCCGGAGAUGGAUUCUGAGACACGAAUCCAGGCCCUACGGGGUGCAGCAGGCGCGAAAACUUUACAAUGCUGGCAACAGCGAUAAGGGAACCUCGAGUGCCAGGUUACAAAUCUGGCUGUCGAGAUGCCUAAAAAGCAUUUCAUAGCAAGGGCCGGGCAAGACCGGUGCCAGCCGCCGCGGUAACACCGGCGGCUCGAGUGGUAACCGUUAUUAUUGGGUCUAAAGGGUCUGUAGCCGGCCGGAUAAGUCUCUUGAGAAAUCUGGCAGCUUAACUGUCAGGCUUUCGGGAGAUACUGUCUGGCUCGAGGCCGGGAGAGGUGAGAGGUACUUCAGGGGUAGGGGUGAAAUCUUGUAAUCCUUGAAGGACCACCAGUGGCGAAGGCGUCUCACCAGAACGGACCUGACGGCAAGGGACGAAAGCUAGGGGCACGAACCGGAUUAGAUACCCGGGUAGUCCUAGCCGUAAACGAUACUCGCUAGGUGUCGGCCACGGUGCGACCGUUGUCGGUGCCGUAGGGAAGCCGUGAAGCGAGCCACCUGGGAAGUACGGCCGCAAGGCUGAAACUUAAAGGAAUUGGCGGGGGAGCACCACAACGG